rnacentral:piRNA from 1 species
UGGGGAUAGAGUGUAUGAUGACGGAGG